AUUGCGAAAUCAAAAAAAGAAGAAAUUAGAGCACGACUAGAAGAGUGAGAAAAGGAGCAUGAAGCUCAGCUAGAGCUGAACAAAAGAGAAGUAGAAGAGGCAAGAUGGAAGAAGGAAGACACACCUGCUACAGUACCGCAAGAUGGGGAAUUGACUGAGGUAACGUUAGACGAUGAACCUACCGAGUAAGUCAUCUCCUCUAUCUAAGUCCUAUCGGUAGACUUUAAAUUCCAUAUCCUAGCCAUA
rnacentral:lncRNA from 1 species